UGGUGAGGCGAUGAUGGAACGAGGAAUCGCAGCGGAGAAGGUGCUCCCUGCCUGAUAUGCGUCAUUCUCCCACUUUGUCGCCUCAGGCUGGCCCCGCUCUGCCGUUCCCGCUGGGCUCGAGGAGACUUGGCAGGUUACAGAUAUCACUCCAUGGGUCCACCACUCCAGAGUCAAGAGGACCAAUCCUGAGGAGCCCCAGACUUGGAAGUCUGACCCAAGUUCGACAAACCUGCUCCAAGCGACCUUCCAGAGACUCCUAGAUUCUUGGGAUCUUCAGCCCUGCUCCAGUCAUACCCCAGAAGCUGGCUGGUCUAUAUAUGGCAGAAGCUUGAAGAAUCGCCAGUCCUAUGAAAUAAAUAGACUGUCCUUACUCCUUGCCAUCGGAUUGGCAGAGCUUGCCCCAGGAAGCUGGGAAAACAGUGAGAGGUUCCUGUUUGCACUCUCAUUGCUCUUAUGGAGAAGAAACUGAGACUCGGAGAGGUUAAGUGACUUACUCAAGCAUGCAAAGCAGGAGAUCCAGGAUCUAAACAGUGUACUAUGACUCUGAAGCCCAGCAUUUUCCUAUUUUGCUUCCUGACCUCCCCAAACUACGCUUUUCUUACACAGAGCAUCUGCUGUACUUCAAGAGCAAAGGCCAGAGGAAACUUGGUAAAUACAGAAAUGUGAAAGAAGGAAAAUAACCAUCCACCACUCAAAGACAAUCACUUUUGACAUCUUGAUGUGGAAAGUCAGUUCUGAAGAAGCAAAGUGAUCCUUUCAAGCAUAUAUAUUGGUCAGAAGGCUGAGAAGUCCGAGAUCAAGGCACUGGCAGAUUCAUUGUCUGGUUAGCACCUUGGUGCACACCUUCUGGGAAGUCUACAGGUCCACCCCGUUCUACCACCUGGGAGGGAGAAGAGCUGGUCCUGGCCCAUCCAUCCACCACACAGCCGAUAUCAACUGAGUGUCUGAUACUUCGCUCUGGUGAGCAUAUUCAAGUGAGUGGAGCCUGUGUUUGCCCCCAGGGCCUCAGACCGUAGUGUGCACAUGUUCGGGGGAGUCACGUAUGAAUGGGUCCGGGGGUGAGCUGAGGGCCCAUGAGGGAGACACGCAGGAAAUAACUAGGAUACAAUGUGAAAAGUGCUCAUGGGGACAUAAGGACAAAGUGUGGGGAGAACAUAAAAGGUAAGGUGAGCUUGGAAAUUGAAGGAGAAAAAAAAAAAAAAGCAAAACCAAAAUCUGAUCGAUUUAAGGCUCUGUAGAGACAUGAUUCUACCUUUCUCCUAAAUUCUAAUGAAUAACUCACUCCAGAAUUGUGCAGUGGCCAGGUGGUGUUACUCUCACUUGCUAAUGAAUAUAAGUAACUCCCUUUGGCGAUACAGAAGGUGGGAGUAAGCAAGGCAGCGUCUUCAGGUACUGAAAUUGGCUAUUGAUUUCCAACAGACACAGCCUGAGGCAGCAUUUCCCAAAUUUACUGAUUAGAAGACAGCAUUCCCCAAAUCACCUGAGGCUCUUGUUAAAUAAAAUGAUUCUCAGGCCCCACUCGGAAUAAUAAGUCC